rnacentral:rRNA from 1 species
CCCUUAGAUGUUCUGGGCCGCACGCGCGCUACACUGACGGAGGCAGCGAGCGUGUCCUUCGCCGGCAGGUGCGGGCAAUCUUGCGAGUCUCCGUCGUGCUGGGGAUAGAUGGUUGCAAUUGUCGAUCUUGAGCGAGGAAUUCCUAGUAAGCGCGAGUCAUCAGCUCGCGCUGAUUACGUCCCUGCCCUUUGUACACACCGCCCGUCGCUACUACAGAGUGCCCGUGUCCAAGAAACGGUCGGACCUGUGCGGCCUCUCCGGGCGACCGGAGGGCCGUUACGGGGAAGACCCUUUAUUUGACGCGGGUCGAUGAAGUAAAAGUCGUAACA